ensembl:lncRNA
CUGCAGCAGCCCUUUCUGGGGGAGCCUCGGCGUUCCAGGCAGCUGUGGCCAGGCCUGAGUCAGUGGGAGCCCUGGGCCGCCCCGCCCUGGGGCGGAUUAGCUAAUUAUUAAAAAGUGCUCCGGCAGCACAAAGGGCAGGAGGACGCGCCGCCCUGCUCCGCCUGCUGGGAGCUGGCACUGACCGGAGGGAGCUCGGCAGGAGGGGACAGACCGAGCCGCCCCUUCCCGACACGCGGGCUGCCCCUGGGCGUGGACUUUUGCGCCCAGCCUCUCCGGGAGAAGCCAACUUUACUUUGUGGUUAGACUGUAAGGUCUUUAGAGUUCUGGAAGGCCUGAAGCUCACUAUGCAGCCCGGGAUGGCCUCAAAGUCCUGGCAGUCCUCCUGGCUCCGCCUCCACGGACAUGGGCCACUACAUUCAGCUGCAGUGAACAUUCUUACACACAAAUUUAUGUGCACAGGUGAAUUCUUCAUAAUAACUACCACCCAGAUCAAGAAAGACAAUAUCAGACCUUUUCCUGCCUCUCCAAAGUAAUCACUAUCCUGACAUCUGACCCCUGCAGUUUAGUCAUGUCUGUUUUUGGCCUUUAUAGAAGUGGAAUCAUGUAAAUGUGGAUUGCAUCUGGCUUCCUUCAUUCAACGAUUUCCUUUCUCUGUGUCACACAUUAAAAGUGGAGAAUCAUAAUGAUAAUCCCAUUUGGAUUUAUGAACAGUUGAAUAGACUAUUGAAAAGAUGCCUUAAUCAAGAAAUAAAUUCACUACAGAAUUGCAUUCAGGGUGGGACAACUACCUUUACCCAUGGAUUUUCUAUCGCUUCAGGGAAAACUCUUCGAUGUUUGAAUUAAGCACCACAUCUGGAAACAAAAGAAAACGAUUACUUUCACUAAGUGCUAUCUAUGUCUCUAGGACUAUGGACAAAAUUUGCUUACAUUCUGUCAAAAUUCCAUCCACUUUUGAAGAAUUCUACAAUCUGAGCUGAGGGCAGCCAAAUGGCUCUGUUCAUACAGUAUCUGUUGGAGUUGAAGCUCCCAAGAACACUUUACUUUCAUAUUCGGUGCCUCCCACUGGGAUAACAGGAACAGCUGACUGCCUGGCACCUCUGUCUCCAGGCAGCCUCUCUGUGUGGACAGCUCAGGCUUCUUCAUAGCAGGGUGAUCUCAAGGUAGUUGAGUUUUAAAAUGGUGGAUGGCUUCCAGGUGAGAGAAAGAGGAUGUUGCCAGUGCAUUUAAGGUCUGGGCUGAGAAGUACCAAAAACAUCGAUUCCUCUGAGUUCCACUUCCAACCUGUACUCUGUUGGUCAAAGCAGGUUACAGGCCAGGCUGGAGUCAAGGGAGAAGAAAUAGCGUCUACUUCUUGGUGGGAAGACCAGUAUGCACAUAUAGGGAGAGAAGAAUCAGCACUGGCCUUCUUUGGAGUCUCUCUGAGAAGGGGGAAGAUGAAGGAUGACACGGUCUGCUUGUCAGGUAGGAUGGUAUGAAACCCUGCUGCAGAGGUUAGGAAGGAUCUAGAAGACAUGGUAUAGACUCCAGAGCCUUCUAACUCUCCCAUCCCUGAUCACAAGGUCACAAAAGACAACACCUUAACCAUCCAACAACUUCCCAUCCACCAUAUUGAAGAACAGGA